rnacentral:rRNA from 1 species
CCUACGGGUGGCAGCAGUGGGGAAUAUUGCACAAUGGGGGAAACCCUGAUGCAGCGACGCCGCGUGAGUGAAGAAGUAAUUCGUUAUGUAAAGCUCUAUCAGCAGGGAAGAAAAUGACGGUACCUGAGUAAGAAGCCCCGGCGAACAACGUGCCAGCAGCCGCGGUAAUACGCAGGGGGCAAGCGUUCUCCGGAAUGACUGGGUGGAAAGGGAGCGUAGACGGCAGUGCAAGUCUGGGGUGAAAGGCCGGGGCGCAACCCCCGGACUGCUCUGGAAACUGUACGGCUGGAGUGCAGGAGAGGUAAGUGGAAUUCCUGGUGUAGCGGUGAAAUGCGUAGAUAUUAGGAGGAACACCAGUGGCGAAGGCGGCUUACUGGACUGUAACUGACGUUGAGGCUCGAAAGUGUGGGGAGCAAACAGGAUUAGAUACCCUAGUAGUC